AUUGAACGCUGGCGGCAGGCCUAACACAUGCAAGUCGAGCGAGCGGCGGGCGGGUGAGUAGUGUAUGGGACUCUCCCCGAUAGGGGGGGAUAACUACUGGAAACUGUGUCUAAUACCGCAUACUCUCAUAUGCCCCCAUAUGGGAUUAGCUAAUAGGUGGGGUAACGGCUCACCUAGGCGACGACCUCUAGCUGGUCUGAGAGGAUGAUCAGCCACACUGGGACGGAGACACGGUCCAGACUCCUACGGGAGGCAGCAGUGGGGAAUAUUGCACAAUGGGCGCAAGCCUGAUGCAGCCAUGCCGCGUGUAUGAAGAAGGCCUUCGGGUUGUAAAGCACUUUCAGCGGGGAGGCGUUACCCGCAGAAGAAGCACCGGCUAACUCCGUGCCAGCAGCCGCGGUAAUUC
rnacentral:rRNA from 1 species